AAUGAACGUUGGCGGCGUGGAUUAGGCAUGCAAGUCGCGCGAGAAGUCAUUUAGCUUGCUAAAAGACGGACAGCGGCGGAAGGGAGAGUAACGCGUGGUUAUGUACCCUCGAGACCGGGAUAGUGUCGGGAAACUGGCAGUAAUACCGGAUAACAUCUUCGGAUCAAAUGGUGUGAUUCCGCUCGAGGAUCGGACCGCGUACUAUUAGCUAGUUGGAGGGGUAAUGGCCCACCAAGGCUUAGAUGGUUACCGGGUGUGAGAGCAUGGCCCGGCUACCUGGGACUGAGACACUGCCCAGACAUCUACGGAUGGCUGCAGUCGAGAAUCUUCGGCAAUGGACGAAAGUCUGACCGAGCGACGCCGCGUGCGGGAUGAAGGCCUUCGGGUUGUAAACCGCUGUCAGUUAGGAGGAAAUCCAUGAGGGUUCUCUCUCAUGGUUGACCGAUUUUCAGAGGAAGGACGGGCUAAGUUCGUGCCAGCCGCCGCAGUAAUAC
rnacentral:rRNA from 1 species